CCAUUUCACAUCCUCCCGUUCCACUUUAGGCUGAAAUCUUUUCUCAAGAGAUACGUACUGAAAUAUUUACAGAAUACCUUUGUCGGCCUGUGAGUGCCAGGCCAGCUCCUGGCUGUUUUUCUCUUUUUCAAGAGGUAAGACUCAUGAAGUUGCAAAGGACAUAAAACCCCAACCAAAUUGACUUAAGCAAAAAGGACCACGUCUUAUUUCUAACAAAAAUCAUCCACCAAAGACGAAAAACUAUCAGUGAUUUUGAAAACAUCCUUGCAACUGCUGUGUUGAAGAAAAAAAAUGUGUCUUAUUAAGGCAUCUUCGGCUGGCAUUUUUCACGAACUGAUGGACGUCUAUUCAGCCUGGGCACUGUGCAGCUCAAAACACGUUUUUUCUCUCAGCAUUCUUAAGGGGCUCUGUGCACUCACUGGAUGCCAAAGAUAACAUCUAGAUCAGCAAUUUCUCAUAAAUCAUUGGAACACGGAACAUGAAACAAAGAGAAGAAAUCAGGAAUUCAAUAAUAAAUAUGGCAAGGUGCACAAACAAGAGAAUUGAAACCAGAUGAAAAGGAGCCUUUCAGAACAGAAGGUCAAGAAACGUGUUUCCCCUGCUCCCUCAAAGCCUUAGACUAAUCCCUCUGUGCUUCCCAUGCAGCCAUCAGCUUACUGCUCUGAGUUGGUUUUGGAAUAUUUAUGUGGUGGAUUUAAGGCUUUAACAUACAACUGAAAAAUUAGUGUCGUUUAUUUUAGU